rnacentral:rRNA from 1 species
CACGUAGGGCGCAAGCGUUUGUCCGGAAUUAUUGGGCGUAAAGAGCUCGUAGGCGGUCUGUUGCGUCCGCUGUGAAAACUCGGGGCUUAACCCCGAGCCUGCAGUGGAUACGGGCAGACUAGAGGUAGGUAGGGGAGAAUGGAAUUCCCGGUGUAGCGGUGAAAUGCGCAGAUAUCGGGAGGAACACCUGUGGCGAAAGCGGCUCACUGGACCAUAACUGACGCUGAUGCACGAAAGCUGGGGGAGCAAACAGG